GAAAGGAGCCGAUCUCAUUACUGAGGCCCGGACACAUUAUUUUCUCCAAGGAAUUUCUUCUUUUCAUUAUUUCCCUCCAAAGACAGCAGUCCAGCCAUCCUUGCUAAGUUCCUGAGAUUCCCUCCAGGGUCUGGGCUUUUCUCCAGCACGUGGCUCCCUGCUACCAUCCGAGAAGUCCCUGAUGCUGAGGUCUCUGCUGACUUGCCCCGAAGGAUUGCCGACACACGGACAUUUAUGUCUUCCCCACAGGGAAAAACACCCCAUUAGAAGGCAGAAAUUUGGUUCCCCCAUAGGAUCUUCAGGGAGCUGCAGUGACACCAGAGGAGGGCUACUGGAAAUGGCACCAGGACAUCAUAUUCGUUUUCUAGAUCCCAACAUGGAAGAAUUGGAAAGAGAAAAGCAUUAUAUGCUCAUGGAUGCUAGUGGAGUUUGUCUCCAGCCUGUCGUGUUUCCGGGCCUCGGAAUAGAGACAGAGGUGGCUUCCUUCCUUCCCUGGGGGAGGCUUCAUUCCUGACUCCUGACCUGCCUCUUCUCCUGCCCACAUCCUUCCUUUCUGAGUGAUCCUGACUGGCAAGAAGGGACAGCAGUGAGGAGCCUCUCAGAACCAAGACCAUGGCUCCUGCUUCUCAGCCUGGCUAGCCCACCUGCAGGAAACCUGAUUGUACCCUCAUGGGGCCAUCCUUUCAAUGCCCCCAAAGUACCCAAUACACCUGGACUUUCUUCGGGAUCCCACUCUUUCCCUCCUCCCUCCUCCCUCCUCCCUUCCUCCCCUCUUUUCUUUCUUCCUCCAUCUCUGCCUUUCUCCUUUCUGCCAUACACUGCCUGACCCAUCAGAUGUCAUUGUUUGCUGUUUAGACUGCAGUAGCCACUGAGAGCAGACUCUGCAGGUUGAAGCUUGACCUCCAUCUCUGCCGUACACGGCUUUGGGAAGUUCCUCCAGCACUCCAGGCUUUCAUUUCAUCGCCUUGAAUGAAGGUUCUUCUGGGGAUGAAAUAAAGUAGUCAUUGGUCGUUGCUCUGUCACGACUGAUAGAUGAGUAAAUCCCAGAGACUUCAGAAACGGAAGCCAGAGGAAACGGCCACCCUGCUGAGCCCUGGAGCUGCUGGCAGGCAGAGCCCUCUCUCUAAGUCACUACCAGACAGGCUAGCAGGAAAAUCUGGAAGAAUACAGAUUUGAUGACAGGGAUGUCCUAGGAGGGAUGUCUCCAAGUUCAACCUCUGUCCUUGGACCUCUCAGGUGCAAAGAAAGCGCAGGUUCUCAGAGCUGUGGUACCCAGCCCUCUGUGAUCCCCACCAUCAGCUGGAUCCAGAAGGGCUCCUCUCUUCAUAGGGAGCCCGAGGCAUUCAUUGCUCUCACUAAGGGCCCAGAAAAGGCAAGCUUUGGUGCUGAAAGCCCCCUAAGCUCCCCGCAAACGCCGUGAUUGCUAAAAAUUUGCUUCGUUCUGAUUUUGCCUCUCGUUGGCUGAAGGACUGGAUUUUAUACCAGGUCAAUUUCAGACCAUUUGAUAUUGAUAUAUGAAGAUCCCAGGGGAUUACUGAAUGCAUUUCUCAUCCUGCCUAGAUAGUAUCAUAGAAGGAAAAUGGGAUUGACUGUUAAGGACAAAUUGAGAAAGACAUGGCCAUUUAAGAUAACUCCUUAUCUGUAUACAAGCAAAUGGUAUCUGGGAAAUAGACCACCAGUUGACAGCAAGAAAUUCUACUCCGGGCUCUUCACCCACUCUCCCUUCUGCCGUUAACACUCAGGGAUUAUCCCGUUAUCCUGAGAGCCAUUUCCUGGGGGCCCCUGCUGGAGGACACUAGAGAAGAGGGCUUUUUGAGACUUUAUUCUGAAAGGGUUGGGUGGAAGGGGUCUGGGAUUGUCCAUGGGUACUCUGAGGAGUUUGGGAUGGAAUGGCUACGAAUGUGACAGAUUGCCCUGGUACUUGGAGAACAGUUCUCUCAGGUGAUUGUGCGGCUUGACAGAUGGAGGAUUGAACUUACCACAUGGUGAGUGGUCUUUGCACUCUCCUCUGUCAAGGGUACCACUGAAUGCUAACGCCUAUGCUAACACUUUCCUGAGUCAUGAGGUUGUGGAAACUUUCUGGAACUCCAAGCUGUCCCCUUGCUGGUUUGAGAAGCAGCUAUGCAGCUCAAGGUCUUGCUUCCUUGGUGUUGGGGGACGGAUCCCACAGAUCUGUUGAUUGGUCCCAUUGGUGGGCAUGUGUGCUGUGUGUUCUUGAAGGGAUCAAGGGUUGGUGUGGGGGUCUACCACAGUCCUCCAUGAUCAGGUGCAUGUUCCCAUCUCUAUCCUUUAUCCACCCCCUCCCAGCAGGGUGGAUUUCACAGGGAAAGGGGAUUCUGGAGACCAAGAAGAGCCAGGAGACCUGGGGUCUUCAAAGUCAAAGCUCUGGAAGUUUCUGAUGUCAGACCCAUUAUUCCCCAGGUCACGGUCAUAGUUUAUCUUCCCUGUUGCUAUGAUAAAAAAUACCCUGAUGCAAAGC
rnacentral:lncRNA from 1 species